rnacentral:lncRNA from 1 species
UUUAAAAAUUGCUAAAAAUGCUAAAAAAUGUUUAGGAAAUGCUUUUAAAAUUGCUUUAAAAGUGGUAGAAAGAUGCUUAAAAAUGCUUAAUAAAGUGAUACAAAAUGCUUAAAAAUGCUAAAAAAAUGCUUUACAAAUGCUAAAAAAAUCACAAAAAAUGCUGAAAAAUGCUAACAACUUAAAAAUGCUAGAACAUUGCCAAAAAUGCUUUAAAAAUAGUAAAAAAAUGCUAAAAAAUGCUUCAAAAAUGUAAAAAAUUGCUAAGAAAUGGCUAAAAAAAUGCUGGAAAAAUUGCUAAAAAUGCUGGAAAAAUGUUAAAAAAUGCUGGAAAGUUGCUAAAAAAUGGUAAAAGCUGCAAUUUCUGCAUUUGGCAGCCCGAGGGGAGCGUGCUGCGGGAUCGCUUCCGGAGCCUGCAGAGGAGGAACAUCCUGGAGCCGCGGCUCAGGGCCAGGUGAGCCACAAAAACCAAAUCUGGGGGAAAUCAGAAAACUUCCAUGGAAAAAUCCAACGUUCACCCAGAGAAAAAAUUCAGUGUGGGGAAAAAAACCCCAAAUUUGCCUUUUUUCACCCAUUUUUGGUCGUUUUUCUCAGGUUCAAGCGGCGCUACAAAGUGAAAUACGUGGAGAAAAGAUCCUUCAGGGCCGUGACGCUCUGACCCAGGACCCCUCCCCAAAAUAAAACC